UACGUAGGGUGCAAGCGUUGUCCGGAUUUAUUGGGCGUAAAGAGCUCGUAGGCGGUUCAGUAAGUCAGGUGUGAAAUCUUUGGGCUUAACCCAAAGCGUGCACUUGAUACUGCUGUGACUUGAGUUCGGUAGGGGAGUGGGGAAUUCCUAGUGUAGCGGUGAAAUGCGCAGAUAUUAGGAGGAACACCGGUGGCGAAGGCGCCACUCUGGGCCGAAACUGACGCUGAGGAGCGAAAGCGUGGGUAGCAAACAGG
rnacentral:rRNA from 1 species